CUUUGACAGUGAAUUGUACAGAAAAUGUUUAGUUACGUGCGUUAAAAAGUAUCUGUAAUUUCUGAUGUAUAACAACUAUUAGAAUGGGUUUUUGGCAUGAACUUUCAUGUAUACUCAUAUCAAUGUUAGCGGUAAAGGAAUCGAGGACAAUGUAAAGGCUUAUCAAUAUGUUUCACGAUAUAACAUUCAACCAAAGGGUUAAGAUAAUGGCAUUAUGAUUGACAGCGAUCCGUGCAAAAUGAGAUUGUAUAAGUCAAGAUCCAUUGUUUUCCUUUUUCUUUCCAUCAUUUUUCUACCAACGUUUGCUCAAUAUCAGAAUGGAUUCCCUAUGUUCUAUUCAAAAUCGACAAUAAGUCCAGCGACUGCACAGGAAAUUAGUGAGUGUCGACAACAGUGUGGAGAUAAAUAUUACACAUGUGCAACAUCGAACUGUAGCCGGGAAGCUUGUGAAGUGACGUGUCUCAAUAACUUCCGGUUUUGUUACAAAGGCUGUCAGCAACAAAGACUUAACACACGAAAUAAUUUUCAUGCGAACCCUGAUGUUAAUUCGUUUGUUAUUCAUCAUAAGAAAUUUAAUGAAUAAAUAUAUCUGACGUUUAAGAAGAA